rnacentral:lncRNA from 1 species
AAGUUUAUUGAUACUGAGGUAUAAAUGACUAAAUUUGCUUUUUAUUGAAGUGUUUUCUCAAUAAUAAAAAGUAAAAUCUUAAGCUUCAAUAAUGAAGCUUUAACAGUUUCAGUUGAGAGGAAGUUAUGUCACAAGAGAUUCUAUUUGGGAUAAGCUAAUGUAACUAGAUUUGUUCAUAGACUUUUGAGGAAGGCAUUUGUGUGUGUGUGCGCUAAGUUUCAGUCAUAAAAGUUAGUCAUG